UAUGAUAUGAUGUGGAGGGAGGGCCUCUUAAUCAAAAUGCAUUUAUUGGGUAUUGGGGGGAAAAUGUUCAAUUGGAUUAAAAACUUUCUAGAGGGAAGAAUGAUUCAAGUGAGAAUAGGAGUAGAGAUAUCCAAGCAGCAUGUGGUUGAAAAUGGAACACCUCAAGGAAGCGUAUUAAGCCCAACGCUGUUCUCCAUUAUGAUAAAUGAUGUUUUUACAAGUACACCAAGAGAUAUGGGUAGGUCUUUGUUUGCUGAUGAUGGAGCGCUAUGGAAGAGAGGAAGAAAUAUUGAGCAUGUAGUUAGGAAGUUGCAAGAUGGUAUUAGCCAAGUGGAAAAAUGGGGUGAUGAAUGGGGCUUUAAAUUCUCAGUUGAAAAGACUAAGGUAGUAUUUUUCACAAGGAAAAAGGUAGGAGAAUACCAGUUAAAGCUGUAUGGGAACAACCUAGAAAAGGUAGAGUGUUUUCGCUUUCUUGGUGUUUUAUUUGAUGCUAAGUUAACAUGGAAGAAUCAUAUAAGACAGGUUGUUGACAAAUGUAAGAGAGUUAUAAACUGUAAAAUUAUGAGAUGCCUUUCAGGACUACAGUGGGGAGCUAGUAUUACAGCUCUGAGGUAUAUUUACACAGCACUAAUAAGAUCGAGAUUAGACUAUGGAUGUAUAGCUUAUGGGUCAGCAUCGAAGACUGCAUUAAGAGAACUAGAUAUAAUUCAAGCUCGAGCGUUAAGAAUUUGUAUUGGAGCAGUAAGAACUACACCAGUAUGUGCAAUGCAGGUAGAAGCUGGGGAGAUGCCAUUAGAGUUACGUCGAAAUCAAUUAACAGCUAAUUACUGGAUCAAUUUGAGAGGACAUAGUGACAGCCACCCAACAAAAAAGGUAUUACAAGCAAGCUGGGAGAAGGAGAAAGGAAACAGAAAAAGCUUUGGAUGGAUUGGAGAUCAAAUAGCAGCUGAUAUGAGAAUAAGUAAUAUAGAAUUUGAAGAAAGUAAUAUAUGGCCAAAUAGACCAUUAUGGCUACUAGAGUAUCCAAAAGUAGAUAAAGAGCUACUAAAUACAAGACAGAGUGGUGAGCCAUCAGAUACUGUAGCAGAGUAUUACAGGAGGAGGGAAUGCAUAUAUAAGACAUAUAUUCAGAUUUUUACGGAUGGAUCAAAAGAGGGAAACAUAACGGGUUUAGGAAUGACUGUGCCUAAGUAUAAGAUAGAAAUGUAUAAAAGAACAUCUGAUCAUUUGAGUGUAUAUGCUGUAGAAAUGUGUGCUAUCAUGAUGGCAGUGCAGUGGAUUGUAGAGAAUAAUAAUCAAGAUUUUGUUAUAUGCAGUGAUUCUGUAUCGACGCUUAUGAGCAUUGAGGCGGGUGCAGCUAAAAGUCAUCAGGGUCUACUUUAUGAGAUUUUAUUUAAUUAUACAAUAGCAAUUAGACAGGGGAAAAAUGUUGCUUUCAUGUGGGUUCCGGCACAUUCAGGUAUUAAAGGAAAUGAGGAAGCUGACAAGCUAGCAAAAAAGGCAGUAAAAAAGGAAGAUGUUGAAUUGCAUAUUAAAUUAGCUAAAUCAGAAGGUAAGAGUAUAGUUUGGAGUGAAACAAUGGAGAAAUGGCAGCAGCAAUGGAGUAAUGACACAAAGGGAAGACACUGUUAUUCCAUACAAAGUAGUGUAGGUGGCAUUAGAAGUAAGGGGAGAAACAGGAAAGAGCAAGUUAUUUUAAGUAGACUAAGAUUGGGACAUAGCAACUUAAAUAGCACUCUUCAUAUUAUAGGAAAGCAUCCAACAGGUUUGUGUGAUUAUUGUCAGGAAAGGGAGACUGUGGAGCAUAUCCUUAUAUCAUGUGGGAAAUAUAAUCAGGAAAGGCAAGAAAUGAUGGAGCAGCUACAGAGUAUUGAGCAAAUAGAUCUAAAUCAUGUUAAAAAUAUUUUAUAUUUAGCGGAAAAGGGACAAGGAGCAAGUGUUUUUUUUGAUUAUCUAAAAGAAACUGGACUGGAUAAGAGAAUUUAAGAGACAAAUAUGAACAGAAGAUGGCAGUAGUGCAACAAACCGGAUGCAAGCUGCCGUUAAACACCAAAGAAGAAGAAAGAAGAAGAAGUUUGGUGUUUGUAACUCUCCAAGAAGAGAAGACGGGUGCACAAUCCCAAGAUUGCGGAGGCUGUACGGCGUCUCUGAGGCACACUGCAGGCGCUUUGAACCAGAGCAAAGACUAACGUCGCCUCAUAACGAAGCCGUGACCUCCUAUUUGGUUGGGGCUAUUUUAGCAAGUCCACAUUUAACUGCUGAGAAUGACGACAUUGUUUCUGCCUGUAAGACGUAUUAUGAGUCGGUUCGCCGGAGCUUCAGAUACAAACAACCUGCACUCGCAUCGCGGGCGGAAAAUGCGAAAAGUUUAGCUCGGAGUCGAUCCAGAAGAAAAAGGUUGCUGGAAGCGAGACGAAGUGUGCUGGCUGAGGGUGAGAUGGACAUUUGAAAGUGCGCCACCAUAGAUCUCAUGUCUGAUGAAGACUGCAUUGUUGACGGGCUGUCUGGAUGGAUUGUACGGCCACCGCCCUCUCGCAGCCUGGAACUCUCCGAGCUCUGUGCCACGCUGCAAUUCAGAUUAGAGGCGAUACCAAAGUACAGGGGAACUCACCAUAUAUGCCUGCAAAAGCGACUUUUUUUACAACGUUUUUGAGUUUUUUUUUUUUUCUUUUU